rnacentral:rRNA from 1 species
CCUACGGGAGGCUGCAGUGGGGAAUAUUGGACAAUGGGGGGAACCCUGAUCCAGCCAUGCCGCGUGUGUGAAGAAGGCCCUCGGGUUGUAAAGCACUUUCAGUGAGGAAGAACGCCUGGUGGUUAAUACCCAUCAGGAAAGACAUCACUCACAGAAGAAGCACCGGCUAACUCCGUGCCAGCAGCCGCGGUAAUACGGAGGGUGCGAGCGUUAAUCGGAAUUACUGGGCGUAAAGCGCGCGUAGGUGGCUUGAUAAGCCGGUUGUGAAAGCCCCGGGCUCAACCUGGGAACGGCAUCCGGAACUGUCAAGCUAGAGUGCAGGAGAGGAAGGUAGAAUUCCCGGUGUAGCGGUGAAAUGCGUAGAGAUCGGGAGGAAUACCAGUGGCGAAGGCGGCCUUCUGGACUGGCACUGACACUGAGGUGCGAAAGCGUGGGUAGCAAACAGGAUUAGAUACCCGGGUAGUC